UGCCACAUUUCAUUUUUAUUAUUAUUUAUUUUAUUUUAGUUUAUGUUUUUAACAACUCAUCAGUGCAUUUUACCAUGUAACACGGAAAUUCUGGGCAUGGCAUAAAAGAAUCCUCACAUUCGAGUUAUAAUAAAUUUCCUUUCAUGGCUCAUAAUAUGCUUGCAACACAAAAAACUAGAGGCGAAAAGAAUGUGUUAGGGAGAAAAAUUGCAGUUAUAAAAAUAAUCGCGGAUCACAUAUUUUGUUCUUUCGUGAUGAUCACAUUUAUCAAGUUCAAAAGAUAGGUUCUCCUUCCUUCUGGUUUUUAAAGUAUGUUCCACCUUGGAUAUCAGUUUAAUAUGAUGAUUGAGUGAGAUAAUUCAAUGUGUUAUCAAGUUUUCUGCAUUUCUUUAUGAACAGCUUAAGAUAAUUCUAGAUGUCCUAGAGUUCUCAGAAGAAUCCCAAGCAAUAACAUUAGAAGAAUUCUCUUCCACAAUCAACGGCUUGGAAUUUUUCUAUAGAAAUGACUAUUUCAUUUCACACCUCCAUGAUGUAACCUGUGACAAAAUUACUGAUAAAAACUGAAGAAGAAGCUGUACUGGGAGCUUUCCCCUUCCCAAAUUCAAAUAUCACCUUGCUAACUUCCUCUCUUUAAAAGCCGAUCUAACCAAUCUGCAUUUCCAAGAUUUAAAGAUUCAAACCUCAGUCCAUCGGGGUUAGGUUUCCUAAGUUCUUUCUUAAAUAAAGCUUCAUGUAGAAGUUCAUUACCACUUUCUUGAUCUUUUUUGGUUACUCAAUGAUUGUUUCCUCCCACUCAAGUUUAUUGAUCAAGUUCAUGCUCCAGCAUUCGUUGCCCAAUGAAGUCCAUUUUUUUUAUUUUUUAUUUUUAUCAUCCUCUUAAGCCAUAAAGUUUGCAAUGUUUAUCUCUAAGAAAUCUCCUUUGCUUUUGUUAUGUUUUGAUACUCAUGCUUUAACGAGUAUGUGUUGGCUUUUUCCUUCCUCAAAAGGGUCUUGGAAGUUUGCUCUUGAUCCAAGAACUAAAUAUAAUGAAGAAUAUUGUUGUUCCUGUAAUGAAUACCCUUAAGGGCCUGUAAUGCAAGGGCAUUUUCACACCGGGCUCAAGUGGGGUGGCAUGUGGGAUGCAGGGGCACACUCGGGGUGGACGACCUGUGUGAGGUGGGUGGCUCGUGUGAAGCGGAGCCCAUGUGAAGCGAGGCCCACGAGGGGGGUUCGGCCGAGGUCCUAACACCCAUGGGAUGUGGGGCCUGAGCUAUGAAAUAAAUGGAUUGAUUUUCCAUUCACUAUGAAUUCGAGCUUUUAGAGCAAGUGGUUAAUUGUCCUACAUCAAAGUGAUAUCAGAGCGGGAGGUCUCAUCUUCAAGACUCCUCACUGGGGGUGAUUAAUGCAGGGGUAUUUUCACAUUGGGCUCACGUGGGGUCCCCUAUGUGAUGCAGGGGCACACUCAAGGUGGGCAACCUGUUUGAGGCGGGUGACUCGUGUGAAGCGGAACCCAUGUGAAGUGGGGCCCACGAGGGGGGUUCGUCCAUGGUCCUAACCCAUGGGAUGUGGUGCCUGGGCUAUUGAGAUAAAGGAAUUGAUUUGCCAUGCUCUAUCAGAUCGAGCUUUUAGAGUAAGUGGUUAAUUGUCCUGCAUCAGUCUGUUUGGUAGCAACAAAAGUUCCAAGCCCAAAUGGCUUAUCUAGAUCUGGCUUGUCCUAGUCUUGUUUGUUUAGGUUAGGCCCCUUUGUUAAAACCUAUUUGGGUUUGCCAAGGACAAUUUUAUCUGCUGUUUGUUGAAGCUUGCAUGUGCCUUCUCUUCUCCUUCAAAUUUGGGCCAUUCAAUAUCUUUCUUUUAAGCAUCUAUUUGGUACCCAUAACUUGGAUGGUGGAUUGCUUGCUCAAUGCGAUUUGGAGAUAUGCUCCAUCUAGAAUGCAACCCACAUUUUGAGUGGUUGGGAUUGUUUGAUGAGUGUGAUUUUAGACAUGCUCCGUCCAUAACAUGACCACAAUUUGGAUGAUCUUGAUGAUUGUACAUCAUUGCCACAUGUAACAAGAAUGAGUCACUUGCAGAACUAACGUAGGAGUCUACUCCCCUCCAUCAGAGACUAGAGCUGUCUACAACACCUAUUUUGUGCAAAAUGUUAUGAAAAACCCAAGCUCUGUGGGGGCCACCACGCUGUGUGUGUAAAGUCCACUUUGUUCAUGAAGGGUGUGUGUGUGUGUGUAAGAGAGAGAGAGAGAAAGAGAGAGUUCUCCCUGUCUGAUGGGACCUAUUAGAGACUGCGAGUACCUAGCUAACUGAGGCACGAGUUGUCCCUGCUUUUCUUGGGAUCCUGGCGAGGGGAUGUCUUUCAACAAAAGCUAAACUAGUUUGGCCAAUGGAUAAAAGCUUGGACAAGGCAGUCUGGCCUUCGACUUUUCUUGCUACCAAACAGCCCCCUAAACUUUCUAUUUCAUACCUUUAUCCUUGCUUUCAGGUGUGGAAGCUUUUGAGGAAAUUUGACUUUUGGCUAUUGACAACUCUCUUUAUAUCCUAGCUCAAGCAUGCAUAAAUCUAAUAUAUAUAUAUAUAUAUAUAUAUAUAUAUAUAGAGAGAGAGAGAGAGAGAGAGAGAGCACACCAGUUCUUACGAGAACUCGUGAGAACUUUUUGAGAACUCAUCUCUCGUUAUAUGAACCCAAGAUCUAAACCAUACACGUGAUGCAACACCCCAUGAAACACCCAGGUCCCAACUUUUAACUUGAUCCAAAUCAUUGGUGGGCCAUGGCAAAAGAGGGAGGCAAAUCAAGGGAGGAAAUCGUUUCGUUUUGUCAUGGCCCACCAAAGUUUUGGAUCAGGGUAAAAGUUGGGCCUUGGGGGUUUCAUGGGGUGCUGCAUCACGUGGACGGUUCAGAUCUUGGGCUCAUAUCACGAGAGAUGAGUUCUCAUGAGAAUCAGUGCACAGGUGAGCAUUCCUCUCUCUCUCUCUCUCUCUCUCUCUAUAUAUAUAUAUAUAUAUUAUGUAUUAUUUUUUCGUUUCUUAGUGACCCAAAACACUUAACCUAAGUAAUGCAAGGGCAUUUCACAUCGGGCUCUAGUGGGGUAGCCCGUGGGAUGUGGGGACACACUCGAUUUGGGUGACCCAUGUGAUUUGGGGCCCACGGGGGAGGUCUUGUAUUCAAGACUUCUCACCAGGGGUGAUUAAUGCAGGGGCAUUUCACAUCGAGCUCGAAUGGGGUAGCUCGUGGGAUGCGGGGACACACUCGGGGUGGGUGACCCAUGUGAUUUGGGGCCCACGGGAGAGGUCUCGUGUUCGAGACUCCUCAUCGGGGGUGAUUAAUGCAGGGGCAUUUCACACCGGGCUCGAGUGGGGUAGCCCGUGGGAUGUGAGGACACACUCGAGGUGGGCGGCCCAUGUGAUUUGAGGCCCACGAGGGGGGUUCGGUUGAGGUUCUAACCCAUGAGAUGUGGGGCCUUAGCUACAAGAUAAAGGGAUUAAUUCGCCAUACUCUAACAGUUCGAGCUUUUAGAGUAAGUGGUUAAUUAUCCUGCAUCACUACGUUACCUUAUUGGAGAAACCAAGUGUCCUUGAACUUCUUCCUUCCUAAGGUGCCGCUGCAAUUUAAGGCUGCUUUUUGCUAUUAAAGAAUGUGAUAAGGGAAGGCUCGCAACCAUCUUGCAUCCAUCUUUGUAUUUUUGAUCUUGUAAUGCCCUCAAUUAGCUAAAAAGGUACAACUGAGGAAGUGAUGCCGGCUAGAUGAGAGCAAAAUAAGAACAGGAGUAGAAUGGAUUUUGGACACCACAAUUUAAAGGUUGAUCUUAUAGGGGUUUUUUUUGCUCUGCAAGAGAAUACUUUCUCCCAGAACUCACUCUUUUUUAUGCCAAUCUUCAUUGACCUACAACAUCUACACAUCUUCAUUGCACGUUCCUUGCAAUCCUUCAUGCUUGCAUCAGGAAGCAAGGUAGGCUUGACGGAAUGAAACUUUGCAAAACAAAAUGCAUCUUAAAUGUGUAAAGGUGGGGAACUACAUGGGGCUAGGGCUGAGCUUAUAAAAAAUGUUGAAUGCUGAUUAUUAAUAAUAGAGGUAUAGCUAGUCGCAUAAGAGAGAAGGAGAAAGGUGGUCACGUUUUGAAGCAUCUUGAUCUCUAUUUGUAGUAUAUACCAUGUCAAGUUUUUAAAGGAAUGAGCUUUUCAUUCUAUGACAUAUGGGUUCUGAUCUUUAACAUGUUGAUUAACCAUUAUCAUACCGCAAAUCGUAAUAGGGAUUGAAUCGUGUCAAAUCACAAAUUGUAUCCUAAAUCCUAAAUAAUUUUUUCUUAUUUUCUUAAAGUAUUAAAAAAAAAAUCAUAAAAAAUUAGGAAUCAUCAAUCAUCGAUUCCCCAUCAAUAUGCACCUAGUAUUUGUCAUGAUAUUGGCAUUUGAGAACUUGUAUACAGUAUGCAUAUCAUGAUAAUGUUAAAGGAUUCUUGUUUUUCCUUUACGCUUUUUCUUUCAAGCAAUUAUCCGUAAGAAAGACACAAGAGUCCUCAAUAAUUUUACCUUUGAGUGUAGAAUCGCGUUGGAAAAAGUGGCAUUCUAUUCUAUUGACUGCAGAAAAAGAUAUUUUGAUUUGUUUUAUUUGGGUUUUUGAAUAUCAAAACCCCCAAAUUGAUCUUGAUUUUGAUCGAUCGAUCAACACGAUGUGAUUCAUAUUGCAAAUCACACGAUUUUGACAACAUUGGUUGGAACAUGCAUGAGGGAGUGUUGGUUUUGCCAAUUGAGUGGUAGAGUUUGUUCCCUGUGUGGUACUCUUAAUCCACUUGCUUUUGAAAAUGUGAGUAAUGAAAGACUGGAAUUGAGUGGCCUUGAAGUUCACUAAGAUGGAUGAUGAGAGAGAGUAAGUUGGUUCUACUUUGUGUAGGAUUGCAGUUAGGAGAAUUUGUUCCACAUGCACCACCAUUUUGAGGAAGUGAGGGUGGAUACCUCUCAGGUAAAAAAAGAAGGAAAAAGAGGUAGAAUGUGGAAGGGCUGGGAAAAAAUAGAGAAGUGGAAAACAUCAAUAUCUGAGCAGAGUGAGCAUCCAUAAGCAUGAAGGUGACCACUGCACAUGGCAUGCAUGUACUCCAAUCCAAGCUGUUGAAAUUGUGGGACCCAAUGCUGAUUAUUAUAAUUGAAAAUUGCUGAAAGGAUGAUCCCAAAUCUCUGAUCGGCAGCCAUCAAUUGGAAGCACCGACUAUGUUUGCGACAGUCCAAUAUCAAUCCACUCUUCCCAAAGAGACUCGAUUUUGCUUGAGUUGUUUGGGAAAGUCAUAUGUUUUUCAAGUAAAGACAGAAAAUUAUCUACUAUAAUUAUGCACAAGUGGAGUCUCGCAAAAGGGAAUUGCAUCUGCUCAGGGAAGAAUGCAAACAUGCCUAUACUCCUUGCUGCUUUGUGAAUUUAUUGCCUUCAGUUAAUGGAGGUGGCACAGAUAACAAAAGGUAGAAUGUAAGUUGUGUUACUACGUUUUUAUUUGAGCAGUCCCAUGCCUUUGAUGGCUGAUGGAUCCGAUGUCCCCAAAUGUUUAUCAAGACAUGAAGAGAUCCUGUGCUUAUCUGGAUUGAGAUAUAAUGCAGUCACUUCUGAGAUGGGCCUUUAUUCAUGCAACAUGUCCCUUCAUCUUUCUCAGAUCCUAAAGAAAAUGAUAAAUCAAUGGUGUCAUGCAUCUUGUUUCGACAUCUAAUUUCUUCUCAUCAUUUUGGAACUAAGCAUCACAUCAUUGUGCUUUUCCCUUUAUCAAUCAGCAUUGUUUACACCAUCAAUAUUUGAUAGUUUAUGUGUCAUGUUACUCCCAGAAAUUACAUAUACAGAACCUACAUAACACAGACACUUGACUUCUAUUUUUCUCCUGUUCUUGGGAACCUGGCAUGGUCACACAUUCAUACUCGUGUAGGAAAGAUACAGUAUUGUAUCACAAUUGGUUGACUACAUAAGCACAUAUGAUCUAUAAAAAUAAGCGAAGGACCGAGAUUGUGAAAAUGCAUGUUGAUAAAGAGAAAAUGAGGAAUUUAAGACAAACAACAACACUUCUUAGUGUUGCAUUAUAAAACAAGCUGUAUUUAUCAGUCACGGUAGGUGUAAAAAGUUGCCUUAUAAACCAGGCAAAUCAAAAUGAAACCCAAAAUAAUCCAGCAACUAGUAGAGAUGUACCCUUCAUUUGUUGUUAACUUCCAAAAAAAAAAAAAAAAAAAGAACAUUGUGAAUGUAAUAAAUACAUCUGUUGUGGGGAAAUAAAAGAAACCCCUAUCAUUUUGGUUGAUAUUCCAAACAUACCGCUGACUUUCUUUCUUUCCUUCUUCUUCUUCUUUGAGUGUACAUACAGUAGUGUUGAACCCUUGAAUCCCCGUUUCUGGGGCUUGGUAGGGCUGACACUUUUGCUGCAGUUGGAUUCAGACACACAUAUCCCUUUCCAUGCAGUGUAGGCUGCAGAUGAACAUUCCUCAAUUGAUAGAGUUUAGAAUUGUCUUAUAACAAGUGACUAUUGUUAAAUGCAAAAACACUAUCUUAUGGCUUCCUCAUGUCCUUGUUGAACUGAAACUCCUAGAGUCUGCGAAACCUUACAUCCAUGAUCCUAUAAUUCCUCAAGGGGCAUUGCAUAUGCAUAUCAAGAAAACUUUCCAGUUCAGCAGGGAAUUUCAAAGAACCUCCUCUUUUUUCUUUUUUUCUUUUUUUUUUUUUUUUCAGUUCCUAGUCUGUUUGUAUUUUGCACUCUAACCAGAAAUUGAUGUUUUCUUGAAAUUUCGGUUGCUGAUUUAUACUGUACAUAUACUUGCAUGUAAGCCAUGUUCUAUUUUUUUUUUUCUUUUUUCUUUUUUUUGCUUGUUUCUUCCGAGGCUGGUUAUACUGUGAUCUUUUCCUUUGCUCAUUCUUCUUUCCUUUCCCUUCAAUAAUUUUGUAUUAUUAUCUUGAGCUUUAUUUCUGUUUGGAUCCUUGAUUUAAGGUUUGGUAUGCUCAGAUUUCAGUUCUGACAAAUGUGGCCUGUGUUUACCCUAUCCAGUCUUUGCAUCGGCCGUGGUUGGACCAUGCCUAGAACUCUCCCAGAUUGAAAGAUUCUAGUCACCCAUCUUGGUCCCUUUUUUAGUUCAAUGUGAACCUUUGCUGUAUUUCUCUUUUCAAAAAUCCGUUUGUAAGCUGCAAACAGAAAAUGUGAGGAUUGUCAUGAUGAGGAGAUAUUUGGGGCUUAGUCGAUCCACAGAGGACCCCAGCAGAUAAAUGGUCUGGAUUACAAAGCCAGGGCCCAAUUGUCAGAGCAGAAACAAUUUACAAAUCCAUGGGUAG